ACAUUAGUAGCUUGCUACUAGAUGACGACCGGCGCACGGGUGAGUAACGCGUAUGCAACCUUCCUUUAACAGGAGAAUAGCCCCCGGAAACGGGGAUUAAUGCUCCAUUGUACUNUAAGUUCGCAUGGNUUANNAGUUAAAGUUCCGACGGUUAAAGAUGGGCAUGCGUGACAUUAGCCAGUUGGCGGGGUAACGGCCCACCAAAGCAACGAUGUCUAGGGGUUCUGAGAGGAAGGUCCCCCACACUGGUACUGAGACACGGACCAGACUCCUUCGGGAGGCAGCAGUGAGGAAUAUUGGUCAAUGGACGCAAGUCUGAACCAGCCAUGUCGCGUGCAGGAUGACUGCCCUAUGGGUUGUAAACUGCUUUUGUACGGGAAGAAAUAUAGCUACGAGUAGUUAUUUGCCGGUACCGUACGAAUAAGCAUCGGCUAACUCCGUGCCAGCAGCCGCGGUAAUACGGAGGAUGCGA
rnacentral:rRNA from 1 species